UAUUACCUACGGGGGGCAGCAGUAGGGAAUCUUCCACAAUGGGCGAAAGCCUGAUGGAGCAACGCCGCGUGGGUGAAGAAGGUCUUCGGAUCGUAAUACCCUGUUGUUAGAGAAGAAAGUGCGUGAGAGUAACUGUUCACGUUUCGACGGUAUCUAACCAGAAAGCCACGGCUAACUACGUGCCAGCAGCCGCGGGAAUACGAAGGUGGCAAGCGUUAUCCGGAUUUAUUGGGCGUAAAGGGAACGCAGGCGGUCGUUUAAGGCUGAUGUGAAA
rnacentral:rRNA from 1 species